AGUUUUUGCCGUGCUUGGCCCAAGUCCCGAAUCUAAAACUGCCUUCCCGUCCCCGUCUCCCCGUCAGCUAUCUGACUUCUCUACCCCACUGCUCGCCUCCUCCGCCGUCUCCGCCGGCCCGACCCGGCGGUGGAAUGGGGAACAUGACCCGGUCGGACUCCCCCGUCUCGCGCCGCAUCGUCCUCUCCUUCGUCGACUUCCUCAACUCCGGUCAGCCCCCUCGCCCCCC
rnacentral:lncRNA from 1 species